rnacentral:rRNA from 1 species
UAGGGAAUCUUCCACAAUGGACGCAAGUCUGAUGGAGCAACGCCGCGUGAGUGAAGAAGGUUUUGGAUCGUAAAGCUCUGUUGUUGGUGAAGAAGGAUAGAGGCAGUAACUGGUCUUUAUUUGACGGUAAUCAACCAGAAAGUCACGGCUAACUACGUGCCAGCAGCCGCGGUAAUACGUAGGUGGCAAGCGUUGUCCGGAUUUAUUGGGCGUAAAGCGAGCGCAGGCGGAAUGAUAAGUCUGAUGUGAAAGCCCACGGCUCAACCGUGGAAAUGCAUCGGAAACUGUCAUGCUUGAGUGCAGAAGAGGAGAGUGGAAUUCCAUGUGUAGCGGUGGAAUGCGUAGAUAUAUGGAAGAACACCAGUGGCGAAGGCGGCUCUCUGGUCUGCAACUGACGCUGAGGCUCGAAAGCAUGGGUAGCGAACAGG